AUUGAACGCUGGCGGCAUGCUUUACACAUGCAAGUCGAACGGUAACAGGCCGCAAGGUGCUGACGAGUGGCGAACGGGUGAGUAAUGCAUCGGAACGUGCCCAGUCGUGGGGGAUAACGCAGCGAAAGCUGUGCUAAUACCGCAUACGAUCUAUGGAUGAAAGCGGGGGACCGUAAGGCCUCGCGCGAUUGGAACGGCCGAUGUCAGAUUAGGUAGUUGGUGGGGUAAAGGCUCACCAAGCCAACGAUCUGUAGCUGGUCUGAGAGGACGACCAGCCACACUGGGACUGAGACACGGCCCAGACUCCUACGGGAGGCAGCAGUGGGGAAUUUUGGACAAUGGGCGCAAGCCUGAUCCAGCAAUGCCGCGUGCAGGAAGAAGGCCUUCGGGUUGUAAACUGCUUUUGUACGGAACGAAACGGCGAGCUCUAAUACAGUUUGCUAAUGACGGUACCGUAAGAAUAAGCACCGGCUAGCUACGUGCCAGCCGCCGCAGUAA
rnacentral:rRNA from 1 species